CGAACCCGUGAACUCACCAGUUGCUCAGCUGAGCUUCCAUGGCGGACCUUCAAACGCCAGCAUGAGGCUCAUAUCACCUCAAUCCGUGACUUCGUCGAAGUGAUAGAGAGCUCAAAUGAGGCUCAUUCUCUCCGCCUCUGCACUUUCUCCCACUCUUCCUCUGCUUCCGAGCAGGGCACUCGCGACCACCAGCAGCAGUACGAAUAGCAGUAGCAACUGUAACAGAGCUACCGUCCGUUGCGAGAAUCGGCGGAUUAUAUUCUGUUCAUCUUCUACAAGUAAUUGCGGGGCAAUUGGUUUUUCGGCUUUACGGACUGAGAAGCAAGCGAGGAGUCGUCGGAGAUGCGACUGCACGGCAAUUUAUUCGCCGGACCACAGCGGCAGCUCGCCAGAGGAAACUGAUGAACAGUUCGUCGUUGUGAAUUUCUAUCGUUUCGUGCCCAUAAGGGACCCGGAGUCGGAGGUCGCGAAGCACCUUGCUUUCUUGAAGGAUCUCGAUGUACAUGGUCGGAUAUAUCUCAACGAGCAAGGAAUCAACGCCCAGUACAGUGGACCAUCAAAGGAUGCUCUUUCAUAUGUAGAAUGGUUAAGAGAAGACGGCAGAUUUUCCGACAUUUUAGUUCAGGUUUCUCCUGCUCUAAAUGGGCAUGCAUUCCCAAAGUUAAAGGUGCAGUUUAAGCCCUUGGUACAGUUGGAAGGGGGUAUUUCAACUCUGCCUUUGCUUGAUCCUUCCAUUAGGGCAACACCUUUGGCACCAUCUGAAUGGAAGAAAAAGCUCAGAACUGUGAAUGCAUCAACUGGAGAAUGUGUUGUAUUAGACGUGAGGAAUGCAGGGUAUGAGUGGGAUAUUGGUCAUUUUCGUGGAGCUAAACGUCCUGAGGUGGACUGCUUUAGGAGUACGUCUUUUGGUUCUUCUCAGUCAAAGGUCGUCAGCAAUUCAGAUCCCCUUGCUGAUGUUGACAAGGAGAAAACAGAAGUACUAAUGUAUUGUACGGGGGGCAUUCGCUGCGAUGUCUAUUCUACCAUUCUGAGUGCAGAAAAAAGGGCUUCAAGAAUUUGUACACCUUGAAGGGAGGCGUCUCUCAUUACCUUGAAAAUGAAGGCCCUACAGGAUGGGUGGGAAAUCUGUUCAUGUUUGACUCACGACUCGCUCUCCCGCCCUCUGCCUACAAGCCUGAAGCCAUAGCUGAGACACAUGUACAAGAACAACUCUUGGAUGAAGAUAAAUUUGCAAAGUGCCAUAUAUGUGGUUCAUCAGUCCGCGAGUUAAGACACCGGAAUUGUGCGAAUCUAGACUGCAACCUGCUAUUUCUAUGCUGUGAAGACUGCAUUGAUAGUUUCAGAGGGUGUUGCAGUUCAAGUUGUACAACUGCUUCUCGACUUAGGCCCGUUUUGCCUGGACAUCAAAGAUACAAAAAGUGGCACGUGUAUCGUGAUUUGGAAGUGUAAGGGAAUUGACCGUUUUACCUGCAUAUUCUUUACAAUCCAGAACCAGGUAUUUAUCACAUCUCCCUAGUUGGAAGUGAACCAUUCCCUUCAUGGUUUCUAGCUUGGCUGCAGGAGUUAAGAGCAGAUACUGCUAAUGGCAUUCUUUUGUCGGAUUAGUCCUAAGGAAA